rnacentral:rRNA from 1 species
UACAGAGGUGGCAAGCGUUGUUCGGAAUUACUGGGCGUAAAGGGCGAGUAGGCGGCCUUCUAAGUCAGACGUGAAAUCCCCCCGGCUUAACCUGGGAACUGCGUCUGAUACUGGGAGGCUAGAGUUUGGGAGAGGGAUGCGGAAUUCCAGGUGUAGCGGUGAAAUGCGUAGAUAUCUGGAGGAACACCGGUGGCGAAGGCGGCAUCCUGGACCAACACUGACGCUGAGGAGCGAAAGCCAGGGGAGCAAACGGG